CGCGGCCUAUCAGCUUGUUGGUGAGGUAAUGGCUCACCAAGGCUUCGACGGGUAGCCGGCCUGAGAGGGUGACCGGCCACACUGGGACUGAGACACGGCCCAGACUCCUACGGGAGGCAGCAGUGGGGAAUAUUGGACAAUGGGCGAAAGCCUGAUCCAGCAACGCCGCGUGAGGGAUGACGGCCUUCGGGUUGUAAACCUCUUUCAGUGGGGACGAAGCGCAAGUGACGGUACCCACAGAAGAAGCACCGGCCAACUACGUGCCAGCAGCCGCGGUAAUACGUAGGGUGCGAGCGUUGUCCGGAAUUAUUGGGCGUAAAGGGCUCGUAGGCGGUUUGUCACGUCGGGAGUGAAAACUCGGGGCUUAACCCCGAGCCUGCUUCCGAUACGGGCUGACUAGAGGUAUGCAGGGGAGAACGGAAUUCCUGGUGUAGCGGUGAAAUGCGCAGAUAUCAGGAGGAACACCGGUGGCGAAGGCGGUUCUCUGGGCAUUACCUGACGCUGAGGAGCGAAAGUGUGGGGAGCGAACAGGAUUAGAUACCCUGGUAGUCCACACCGUAAACGUUGGGCGCUAGGUGUGGGACUCAUUCCACGAGUUCCGUGCCGCAGCUGACGCAUCAAGCGCCCCGCCUGGGGAGUACGG
rnacentral:rRNA from 1 species